UUUUUAUUCUUGUUUUGUUUUCUUUUCUCUCUGUUUCACGCUUAGUGGCUUCUGUUCAUGGACGUUCAAUUUUGCUUCAUACGCUACCAUUAGUUUUAUUCUCAUGUUAUGAUUGGAUUUACCUGUUGCAGGUUUUAUAUGUUUGAGAGGAGCACUGGAAUAAAUCAAGUAAAAACAAGUUUUAUAUGUUUGAGAAGAGCAUUGGAAGAAACCAAGUAAAAACAAAUCAAAAAGGAGCUAAAAUGAAGAAAAUGGAAAAAAUUGGUUAGAAGUGCAAAAAGUGGCCAGAUUUGUAAAUUUGAAAUCUAAAAAGUUGGGGGCUAUUUUCGUCACUUGUUAUUGGGAAGUUUUUGGAAACCUUAAAAGCAACACUUGGAAGACAAUACCAUCAUCUUUGGCCAUUUCAUACAAAUCUUGGAGAGCUUAGGAUUCUUACACUCACACUUGGGGAAUAAAGAUUUGAAGAUUUUUUAUGAGAAUUUUUUAAUUCUUUACUCAUUUCUUCUUUUUCUUGCUAUGUAUUGACUAUUUAAGUGUGUAGUACUCUAUUCCAUUACUUGAAACUUGUUUAUGAAAAUAUACAUUGUUAAAGUUUUGGAUGAAACUAUUGUUAUGCUUAUGUAUUGAAUGAUGUUUAUCUCUAA